UCCAGAAUAGGCGUAACGCUUCUCCAGCCUGUGCUGCCCCAAGCUUAUACGAGUAGAUUGGGAUACGGGGCUCCGGCGGCGGACCUCGCCAUGUGCUGCGCCGCGACCUCACCGGCGGGCGGCGGCUACGCUGCGACCUCGCGGUGUUCCUACGUACAGGUGACAACCAGUUCCAUCCCCGCGUCGCCAUUCUCCACCUCGGUGUCACCCCCUCACCACACACGGCACCUACCUCCGCCAUCUGCCGACGCCUAGAUCCGCCAUCCGCCGACGCCGUAGAAGAAAAAUCCGGCCUUCAGGUGUAAGAAAAUGGAACUACAUUCCUACAGAUUUAGUAUUUUUGUGCUAUGUGUCAUGGCAUGCCUUAAUGCAUUGCUAAAUAUAUGUUGCUGCACUCAGGAAAAAGAGCAAGUAGCGUCUACAAAGGUUCAACAUCAGCAGAUUGUUCUACUUACCAAGGCGGACAUGACAACUCAAACGGUAUUUAUAUACCAUCGAUUAAAACGUGUCGAGUAUGUGUGCAAAUCUUUCACUUGAACUUGCUUGAUAUUUUGCAGCACAGCCCAACCCAUUGGAGAGGACACCCUUUACUUUCCGAGUUUCCGUUAAAUAAUGGAUGAAAAAAUGCCUUUGUUCAUGUGAUAUAUGGACCUAGUUCAAG